rnacentral:rRNA from 1 species
UACGUAGGGUGCGAGCGUUAAUCGGAAUUACUGGGCGUAAAGCGUGCGCAGGCGGUUUUGUAAGCCAGAUGUGAAAGCCCCGGGCUUAACCUGGGAAUGGCAUUUGGGACUGCAAGGCUUGAGUGCGGCAGAGGAGACUGGAAUUCCUGGUGUAGCGGUGAAAUGCGCAGAUAUCAGGAGGAACACCCGUGGCGAAAGCGGCUCUCUGGAACGGUACUGACGCUGAGACGCGAAAGCGUGGGGAGCGAACAGG